rnacentral:rRNA from 1 species
GAUGAACGCUGGCGGCGUGCCUAAUACAUGCAAGUCGAGCGAACAGACGAGGAGCUUGCUCCUCUGACGUUAGCGGCGGACGGGUGAGUAACACGUGGAUAACCUACCUAUAAGACUGGGAUAACUUCGGGAAACCGGAGCUAAUACCGGAUAAUAUAUUGAACCGCAUGGUUCAAUAGUGAAAGACGGUUUUGCUGGCACUUAUAGCUGGAUCCGCGCCGCAUUAGCUAGUUGGUAAGGUAACGGCUUACCAAGGCAACGAUGCGUAGCCGACCUGAGAGGGUGAUCGGCCACACUGGAACUGAGACACGGUCCAGACUCCUACGGGAGGCAGCAGUAGGGAAUCUUCCGCAAUGGGCGAAAGCCUGACGGAGCAACGCCGCGUGAAUGAUGAAGGUCUUCGGAUCGUAAAACUCUGUUAUUAGGGAAGAACAAAUGUGUAAGUAACUAUGCACGUCUUGACGGUACCUAAUCAGAAAGCCACGGCUAACUACGUG